UCGAACGAUGAAGCCCAGCUUGCUGGGUGGAUUAGUGGCGAACGGGUGAGUAACACGUGAGUAACCUGCCCUUAACUCUGGGAUAAGCCUGGGAAACUGGGUCUAAUACCGGAUAGGAGCGCCUACCGCAUGGUGGGUGUUGGAAAGAUUUAUCGGUUUUGGAUGGACUCGCGGCCUAUCAGCUUGUUGGUGAGGUAAUGGCUCACCAAGGCGACGACGGGUAGCCGGCCUGAGAGGGUGACCGGCCACACUGGGACUGAGACACGGCCCAGACUCCUACGGGAGGCAGCAGUGGGGAAUAUUGCACAAUGGGCGCAAGCCUGAUGCAGCGACGCCGCGUGAGGGAUGACGGCCUUCGGGUUGUAAACCUCUUUCAGUAGGGAAGAAGCGAAAGUGACGGUACCUGCAGAAGAAGCACCGGCUAACUACGUGCCAGCAGCCGCGGUAAUACGUAGGGUGCGAGCGUUAUCCGGAAUUAUUGGGCGUAAAGAGCUCGUAGGCGGUUUGUCGCGUCUGUCGUGAAAGUCCGGGGCUUAACCCCGGAUCUGCGGUGGGUACGGGCAGACUAGAGUGCAGUAGGGGAGACUGGAAUUCCUGGUGUAGCGGUGGAAUGCGCAGAUAUCAGGAGGAACACCGAUGGCGAAGGCAGGUCUCUGGGCUGUAACUGACGCUGAGGAGCGAAAGCAUGGGGAGCGAACAGGAUUAGAUACCCUGGUAGUCCAUGCCGUAAACGUUGGGCACUAGGUGUGGGGACCAUUCCACGGUUUCCGCGCCGCAGCUAACGCAUUAAGUGCCCCGCCUGGGGAGUACGGCCGCAAGGCUAAACUCAAGGAAUUGACGGGGCCCGCACAAGCGGCGGAGCAUGCGGA
rnacentral:rRNA from 1 species